GCGGCGACCGCCGGCAACUGUUGUGGCUGCCGCAUUGCUCCCGCCGGGCUGUAGCUGAGCGCGGAGCCCGUGGGGGCCGGUGAGGUAAGGAGAUAGCUUCGGGGCAACUCUGGCCUCCCCGUCCGCGCGGGCCUAAGCGCCCCGGGACCCCUGGGUUCCCCUCUUUCUCCUUUGGUUUCGCCCGGGGGUGGUCCCCGCUAGCUCACGCUUCCAGUGGGUUCCGCCUGGCCUCUCGCGAAGUCGCGUCCGGGCGGUAGUACUCGUCCCCGUAAGGUUGUCCGCUCGUGCCUUGGCUUGUGUCCUCGGCUACCCCUGGGCCUGCGCACCGCUCCUCCAGGAGCCUGCACCUCAGCCCCGAUGCCAGGGCGGCCGGGGUGACCUCGGGCUCCCCAGUCUUGGGCUUGCACACCCCUGCGGCGCAGAGCCAACUCCAGCUUGUCUAGCCCGGUCCUCCAUCCCUGCAGAUGGAACUGUUUUCCCGCGUUGAGACGUGCGGUCCGCUUGUGCUUUCAGAACUAGUAAGACUGCUGCAGAGUCCGGAGGAAGAAGUCACCUAGAAAAGUCUGGGACAGGGCAGUAAGCUUCCUUCUUAAUGUUUGACCUUUGGGGGCCGAUGUGUGAUACCUCGGAUUUGAAUCAAGAAUCUCCAAGCCCAUUUUCCGCAUGCAUGUAAACGUGAUGUACCGGGAUGGGGGCUGGUGGUGGAGGAGGAGCCAGCCCAACGGAUAUGCGUUUCCAGUGGCAGGGACUUGUGUUAAUUUCUUUUUUCUUUUUUCUUUUUUUUUCUUUUUUCCGAGACGGAGUCUCACUCUGUCGCCCAGGCGGGAGUGCAGUGGCGCGAUCUCGGCUCACUGCAACCUCUGCCUCCUGGGUUCAAGCAAUUCUCCUGCCUCAGCCUCCCAAGUAGCUGGGAAUACAGGUGUGCGCCACCACGCCCGGCUAAUUUUUGUGUUUUUAGUAGAGACGGGGUUUCACUAUGUUGGCCAGGCUGGUCUGGAACUCCUGACCUCGUGAUUCGCCCGCCUCAGCCUCCCAAAGUGCUGGGAUUACAGGCGUGAGCCACUGCGCCCGGCCAACUUGUGCUAAUUUCUUAAACUUGCGUGAUCACCUGGUGUACUUGUUGAAAAAUACAGCUCCCUGGCGUGGCAGGAUCAGAAUCUGCCGAGGUGGACCGUGGGAAUCUGUCAUUUUUAAACAAGUGUCCCAGGUGGUUCUUUUGCUGAGGCAAGUGUGGGAAAUGUGUGAACCCACGCUCAUCCAGUCUUCCUUGUGACCGGCAGUCCACUGUGCGCAACGCUGCAGCCAUACAGAGGGACUACUCGAAGUUAGAACUAGCACCUUGGUCUUGUUGGAAUAAGCAGAUCUGAGUAGAGCCAGCUGCAGUCUUAUGGUUGUUUAGCAGAAGUUAUUCUUCUUAGCAGAGAAUAUUAUACGGUCAUUUUCCAGAACUGUAAAAACUCUAUCAUUUGUUUUAAACCAGAUGAUGUGCUUCAUUUCUGUCUUUGACGUCUUCAGUUUCUUCUCCCCUGGCUUUACCUCCUUUGCUAUCAGUUUGUGCUUUGGUUUUGCUGCCAACCUUAUAGGCUUAGGUUUGGCGGCAAAGGCACUAGACUCUGGUGCCUUCUUUUCCUUCGUUGUCUUAAGCCCUUCUUUUCCUCUGCCCUCAUGCCCUCACCACUUCACUCUUUUGAAGGUCAUAAUGAACACAAGGUCAGAGAUCCCUUUUUUGGCGCCAAGCACCCUGGGCUUUUUUGAGAUGGAGUCUCACUGUGUCACCCAGGCAGUGGCGCGACUCUGCGCACUGCAGCCUCCAUCUCCCUGGUUGAAGCAAUUUUCCUGUCUCAGCCUCCUGAGUAGCUGGGACUACAGGUGCAAGCCACGACACCUGGCUAAUUUUUCUGUUUUUAGUAGAGACGGGGUUUCACCAUGCUGAUCAGGCUGGUCUCAAACUCCUGACCUCAAAUGAUCCACCCACCUUGGCCUCCCAAAGUGCUAGGAUUACAGGUGUGAGCCCCUGCGCCUGGCCUUUUUUUGUUUUGUUUUGUUUAAGACAGAGUCUCACUGUGUCACCCAGGCAGGAGUGCAGUAGCAUAAUCUCGGCUCACUGCAACCUCUGUCUCCCAGGCUCAAGCGAUCCUCCUACCUCAGGAGUUCAGGACCAGCCUGGGCAACAUAGUGAGCCCAUCUCUACAAAAAAAAAAAAAAAAAUUUAAAAAAUUAAUAAAACACAAGAUUGGCCUGUGUGGUGAGACAGUAUUGAAUCCAACAAACGGGAACUGGUUAGUGAGGCCCAAGAUGCAAUGGUGGCCGCACCAUGAGUACCUGGGACCACAGGUGCGUGCCACCACACCCAGCUAAUUUUUUGUAUCUUUGGUAGAGACGGAGUUUCACCAUGUUUGCCAGGCUGGUCUCCAAUUUCCGACCUCAAAUGAUCUACCCGCCUCGGCCUCCCAAAGUGCUGAGAUUACAGGCGUGAGACAUGGCGCCCGGCCUAAAGUUUUUUUUUAAUUCCUCCUUAAAACUCAUCUGUUACUGUGUUUGUUCUGCCACCUUUGCAAUUCCCUUUCUCUGUUAGGGGAAUGUGCUUAAUGGUUCAGUCCUCACAGCUGUCCUUUCCUUACCAUCUGCUUUUAUUUGAAAGGUAGCGUGGAGUCAUGAUUAAAUAGCCGGCCACUAAUGCCAAAUUGGCAGGGUUCUGCUACUCAACAGUUUGGUAGGACCUUGGGUGAGUCACUUCCACUUAUCUGUGCCUGUUUCCUCAAGUGUAGAAUAGAAAUGCUAGUAUCUACCUCAUAAGGUUGUGAGGAUUAAAUUAGUUAUAUACAUAGGCAGUAUCUGGUGCAUUGUAACUACUUAUAAAAAUAUUAGCUUUAAAAAUUAUUGGCCGGUCACAGUGGCUCAUGCCUGUAAUCCCAGCACUUUGGGAGGCCAAGGUGGGUGGAUCACCUGAGGUCAGGAGUUCGAGACCAGCCUGGCCAACAUGGUGAAACUCCAUCUCUACUAAAAAUACAAAAAAUUAGUCGGGCACAGUGGCGUGCGCCUGUAAUCCCAGCUACUCGGGAGGCUGAGGCGGGAGAAACACUUGAACCUGGAAGGCAGAGGUUGCAGUGAGCUGAGAUCACGCCUCUGCACUUCAGCCUGGGCGACAGAGUGAGACUCUGUUUCACAAUAAAUAAAAAUAAAAAUAAUUCUCUCAGGUAUUUAGAUAUCUCCUCAAAUCUGGGGGUCCUACCUUUGAUUUUUUCCCCCCAUCUUCUUUGUUCUCUGUUCUCAUUCAUGCAUCAACAUAUAUUUCCUAGGUACCUAUGCUGAACGCUGGGAAAAUUGAGCAAUUUAUAAGGUUUCUGCUCUUAGUUCCAUUAUAAUAGGGAAAUAAUAGGCCGGGUGUGGUGGCUUAGCCUGUAAUUCCAGCACUUUGGGAGGCCAAUGUGGGCAGAUCACUUGAGGUCAGGAGCUCGAGACCAUCCUGGGCAACGUAGUGAGACCUCACCUCUACAAAUAUUCAUAAUUUUAAAAUUAGCUGAGUGUGAUGGUACACAUCUGUGGUCCCAGCUACUCUGGAGGCUGAGGUGGGAGGAUCGCUUGAGUCUGGGUGGUUGAGACUGCAGUGAGCCAUGAUCAUGCCGCUGUACUCCAGCCUGCAUGACAGACCUCGUCUCAAAAAAUAAUAAAAAAUAACUACCACUUACUGAGUGCUUCUUAGGUGCUUGUACCAUGUUCUUCCUGCCUUGUCUGAUUUAGUCUUUGCAGCAACCAUGUGAGGUAGGUGUUUCUAGCCCGUGUUACAGAUGAGGAGUUCAAAGCCUAGAGAUUUAGUAACUUGCUGAUAGUCAUACAGCUAGUGAGAGGUGGGGAUAUUUUCAAACCCAGAACUGUCCGCCCCCAAAGCCUGGAUUCCCUGCCAUGCUGGCAUGUUGCUUCUCUGAUUGGCAAACAGACCAUUGUGCAGUGUGGUAAGUUCUGUGCUGGGAGAAGUGUAGUGUGUUAUAGGAGAACAUAGAAAAGCCACCUAACCAAGUGUUGGAGAAGGAGGGGGAGAUUGUCAGAUAAGAUGUCAAAGACAGGGCUGGGAUUACAGGUGUGAGGCACCGCGCCCGGCCACCCUCAAAUAUUUGCUGAAUGAAUGGCUAUCGUUCUUUGUCAAAUCCCUUUCUCAUUAAUCCCAUGCACUGAGUUGAAUGGCAUGAAAUAUGUUUGGUUUCUCUGUCUAGUUUGAGUUCCUGAGAUCUAGUUGGUGAGAGACAUGAUGUUCUACUGGUUGCUGUCGAUUGUUGGAAGACAAAGAGCCAGCCCAGGAUGGCAGAACUGGUCCUCUGCAAGAAACAGCGCAUCAGCUGCCGAGGCGCGUUCCAUGGCCCUGCCCACCCAGGCACAGGUGGUCGUCUGUGGAGGUGGAAUCACGGGCACUUCUGUGGCCCAUCACCAAUCCAAAAUGGGGUGGAAGGAUAUUGUCCUUUUGGAGCAGGGCAGAUGGGGUCUUGCUGUGUCACCCAAGCUGGAGUGCAGUCACACUAUCACAGCUGACUGUAGCCUUGACCUCGUGGAUUCAAGCAGUCCUUCUGCCAUAGCCUCCCAAGUAGCUGGGACUACUGACAUGCACCAUCACAUCUGGCUGAUUGUUGUAUUUUUCUGUAGAGAUGGGAUCUCC
rnacentral:lncRNA from 1 species